GCCGCUCUCUCUCUCCCUCUGGCGAUCCAGGCGAUUCAGAAGAUUUCUCCCAGAUCCGUUCCGAUUUUGCUCCCAAUAGCGGUUGUAGGGUAUUAUGUAAAGAGUGAAAAACAAAGAUCCAGCACAACCAUGUCUGGUGGCGCCAUAUGGAUGAAGAACAGAGUUCAGAUCUAGCGGUGGACCAGUAUUUUUCACGACUUUUUUAUCCUUCACCGGUGAAAUCGAGCACAUCCAGAGCGUAUUAGAAGGGAUAUACGUAGGGUGAGCAAUGGGAGUUGGUAAAGGCAAUUUGGAACCUGCAAAUAAUGUAUCAGCAGUUUGACUCAAACAUUGUGAAGGGAGGCUUGUUAACAUUAACUUUGGAUUCAUUUUUGAGAUAUCACCUGGUGAUUUUAAAGUGUGAGCCAAAGUGUCGAUUUGCAUGGAACGUCUGCUAAUGAGAAAUCUGCUAAACCUCCUAGGAGGUUGUCCAUCCCCAGCAAGCCAAUUGCCAGUCCUACAAGAUAUACAGAGGUGAAAUGACAGAUGAAAAUGGACAUUUAACCACCAAAAUGUUAUGUUGCCGAUUGCAGACAGACGAUUGAUUCAUAUUCUAUCACAGCAACACCAAACUUUGGCCUCCUUAGAGAUCCUUUUUCUAUAUAUUCGCCACUAUAUGAUAUUGGAUGUGAAAAUAACUUUGACGAUGACGCAAAGGCUCGAUUGCUAUCUGAAUGUGAGAAAUAGUAUAGCAAGAAGAUUUACAAAGAGUCAAGGAAAAUAUCAUCAUGGUCAGGAAAGGGUUCAUUACAUGAACAACUUGGAGAGCUUUCCAUUAGCCAUGGAUGUAGCGUUACUCAUACUGUAUUUAACGUGAAUGUAAUGGUGGGAGUUGGGCUUCUUUCUACGCCUUUUACGAUUGCGCAAGUAGGGUGGGCUGGGUUUUCUAUUCGUGUUUGGCGUCAUAUGUUGUUACACUGCUUCGCUCAUGAAAUGGUGCUUUGAGAGCAAAGAAGGUAUUCUUAGUUAUCCGGAUAUUGGAGAAGCUGCAUUUGGGAAAUAUGGUCGCCUUAUUGUAUCAAUUAUCUUGUAACGUUCACACAGAUCUCUGGGAGGCAAAUUAGACAAAGUCAUCACACAACUUGAUAGUUGUAUAAUUUAACAAAAAUGAUCCACCAGUUGCAUACUUGUUGUGUAGCUUUUGUCCCAAAUAGUCAUAGUGAAAAAAAAUAUCAUCUAAUUGAUAGAUUAUGAGAGCGUAAGUUAGUGCUUGAUAGAUGUUAUUUAGGAUAGAAUUAAAAAAUCUUUUUGAAGGUUUAUAGACUUUACAAAUAAAAGCCAAGGAUUGGAAUUUUAGUCUCAUCAGCAUAUACGCAUUCGCCUCUGCUUCUUUUUCGCUUUUUAUAUUGUUUGCAAAAACUGACAUUGCAUAGAACAGACUUAUUAAUUUGUUAUCAUAAUAUACGAAUAU
rnacentral:lncRNA from 1 species